AUUGACCGCUGGCGGCAGGCUUCACACAUGCAAGUCGAGCGAGAGGCGGACGGGUGAGUAAUUUCUGGGAAACUGCCUGAUGGAGGGGGAUAACUACUGGAAACGGUAGCUAAUACCGCAUACCAUCAAAUGUUCCCAGAUGGGAUUAGCUAGUAGGUGGGGGAAUGGCUCACCUAGGCGCCGAUCCCUAGCUGGUCGUAGAGGAUGACCAGCCACACUGGAACUGAGACACGGUACAGACUCCUACGGGAGGCAGCAGUGGGGAAUAUUGCACAAUGGGCGCAAGCCUGAUGCAGCCAUGCCGCGUGUGUGAAGAAGGCCUUCGGGUUGUAAAGCACUGUCAGCGAGGAGGCGUUACUCGCAGAAGAAGCACCGGCUAACUCCGUGCCAGCAGCCGCGGUAAUUC
rnacentral:rRNA from 1 species